ACGAACGCUGGCGGCAUGCCUCACCCCUGCAAGUCGAACGCGACCUUCGGGUCUAGUGGCGCACGGGUGCGUAACGCGUGGGAACCUGCCCUUAGGUUCGGAAUAACUCCCCGAAAGGGGUGCUAAUACCGGAUAAUGUCUUCGGACCAAAGAUUUAUCGCCUUUGGAUGGGCCCGCGUUGGAUUAGCUAGUUGGUAGGGUAAAAGCCUACCAAGGCGACGAUCCAUAGCUGGUCUGAGAGGAUGAUCAGCCACACUGGGACUGAGACACGGCCCAGACUCCUACGGGAGGCAGCAGUGGGGAAUAUUGGACAAUGGGCGAAAGCCUGAUCCAGCAAUGCCGCGUGAGUGAUGAAGGCCUUAGGGUUGUAAAGCUCUUUUACCCGGGAUGAUAAUGACAGUACCGGGAGAAUAAGCUCCGGCUAACUCCGUG
rnacentral:rRNA from 1 species